rnacentral:rRNA from 1 species
UACGGAGGAUGCAAGCGUUAUCCGGAUUUAUUGGGUUUAAAGGGUGCGCAGGCGGGCUUGUAAGUCAGCGGUGAAAUACUGUCGCUUAACGAUAGGAUUGCCAUUGAUACUGCUUGUCUUGAGUUUGGUUGAGGUAUGCGGAAUGUGCAGUGUAGCGGUGAAAUGCAUAGAUAUUGCACAGAACACCAAUUGCGAAGGCAGCAUACUAAGCCAAAACUGACGCUGAGGCACGAAAGCGUGGGGAGCGAACAGG